UUUCGCCAGUGUUCGCGAAAUUUGCCAACCAUUUUUCAAUGUUGAAGUGCUGCCAAGUCAGCGGAAGUGAUGCAAAUAAUUUGAAAAAUUUGUUGAUAUGCGAUAAGAUUUGUUUGUUUUUGUUCUAGAUUUGAUGUUGCAACAGAUUACGUGUACUUAUUGGAAAAAAACUAUAACGGAUAUGGAUAUGGAAAUUUACAUAUACAAUGCAUUGCACAUACACACAUACAUACAUAAAGGCUAAAGCGAUUUCCCGAGAAAUACUUUUGAUGAAAGACAGAUUGGUGGAUUAUUUAACUAACUAAACGCUAAAUGGCUAGUAAAAAUUGUUCUAAAGAAUGUGAAUUAUUAUAAAUAAAUUACGAUAAAACAUUUUCGCUGGAAUAGCGAAUAAUUUUUUAACAAUAUCACAUAAACAUACACACGUACAUACGAUUUUUAAAACUUUCGGUGAACGUUUUUUGCUCAAACAACUGCAAAAUACAUACAUAUCCGACAAUCAGUUCUAAGGUAUCGAAAUUGCUUGGAUUCUUCCAGAGAUGAGAGGUCUUUCAGAGAUAUAUCCCUAUUUGGAUCGAUAAACAGCGAGAAUGGUUGAGACAUUCUCCUAUCAUUCUAGGGUAAAUAAAUAUAAUAAAUAUGUAUGAACAACGUACAUGGUUGGUUACGAGACAUACAUAAAGAGGUGAAUUAUGCUAUGAAAGGUCAAACAAAACCAAAAUUAGUAGUAAAUAAUAUGAGAACUCUAAUACAAAUAAUUUUGCGCUUAGUGCGCAGUUUUGUAGCAUGUUUACUCUUUUCAUCUGAUCUUUUAGCGUCUUAUUCAUAUAGGGUUAAUGAAUAAAUUUUACAAAAUAAUUUCUUUUAUGUUUGUAAAUAGUAUAAGUCGGGAUUUCGUUAACGAGAUGAAUGCUUGCCUAAACUCUCAUUAAAUAUUGCCCGUAACUGUAAAAAUAUACGAUAGGGUUAAUAUUACAGCCUUCUAAACGAAUAAGUACAAAAAUUGGACAAUGUGUGUGGUACUGACCACUUUUAGUUGAUUUUUCAUACAUCUGAUCGAAGAAAUUUGAAAAUGGACGCAAUUGGAUGACAACCACUUUCAAUAUAACGCUCGUUUUUAAACCCAGCGACAAUUAACUCAUCAGUUGAACUUCCAUAACUCGAAAUUCCAUAAAAUUUUACUAUCGGAACAGAAUUUUAAAAGAGUUCUUAUAUCGUAUGGAGGGUAAAAAAUUAUAUUACAAAGGCAUAUUAUACAGACGUAAAGAGCCAAAAAUAGCAAACUGCAACAAACAAAAAACUUUAUGCGAAGUAAAUAACUAAAACUGUGAAUAAAUCUAUAUUUUAUAGCUUCUUGAAAAAUGUAUGUUUCAAUGAAAAUGUCUAUAACUCGAGGUCUCUCUAAAUCGAAGUUUUUUGUGGAUUAUGGUGAUUCGAGUUAGAGAAGUUCCCCUGUAUCCAUAAAAAUUAUAAUUUUUCUCAGCUGACUAUACUUACAACCGUGUCAUAUUUUUGGAAUAAAAAAAUAUGUUUACUUGAUCGCUUUCAGCAAUUACCUUUUGUAUAUUUUAUUUAGUUUAGUUUUGCCACUUAUUAACUUAGUGCUUAUCAAAUUACUAAAAACAAGGAUAACAAUUCUUAGUUUCUUUAAGGUUAGUUUUAUCAUUAAAUGAUUGACUUCAUUUUUAUUAUUUAAAUUAGUGUAUUUUAUGCGGUUUCCCGUUUGUAUGUAAGUGUGCUAUGUAUUGUAUAAUUAGGUAAACACGCCAAAUUCACAAAGACGUGAAAUUACGAUUUUGCACAUUUUGCACUUAACAAUAAAAACGGUAUGAGGGUAGUUAGUUAAUAGUAAA